GAUGAAGAACGUAGCGAAAUGCGAUAAGUAAUGUGAAUUGCAGAAUUCAGUGAAUCAUCGAAUCUUUGAACGCACAUAGCGCCCGUCAGUAUUCUGGCGGGCAUGCCUGUUCGAGCGUCAUUACGCCCCUCAAGUCCCCUGUGGACUUGGUGUUGGGGAUCGGCGAGGCUGGUUUUCCAGCACAGCCGUCCCUUAAAUUAAUUGGCGGUCUCGCCGUGGCCCUCCUCUGCGCAGUAGUAAAACACUCGCAACAGGAGCCCGGCGCGGUCCACUGCCGUAAAACCCCCCAACUUUUUAUAGUUGACCUCGAAUCAGGUAGGACUACCCGCUGAACUUAAGCAUAUCAAUAAGCGGAGGA
rnacentral:misc_RNA from 1 species